UAGAGAGGCAUUAACUCCCUUUAGGGGACACCGAAUCCCUUCAUUUUAAAUUCUUCGCUUCUACUAAUUACCCUCUAUGUUUUAGAAAAGAUUUUAUCCUCCUAUCAUUUACGGUUACAAAGUAGAAGCGCUAACAAUGAUUUCUGCGAAAGGUCCAAUAACUCCGUAAGGGGUCAAAGUUCAAUUACGCAGGGUGAACUGUAUUCGUUUCUCAAGAAGUACUAUAUGAUGGACUAUAAAGUUUUUCGAUAAGUCUUAAGACAAAAAUUUUUUUUGACGGCAGGAAAAUAAUAAUAACUAGUGAUCCUAAUUGUUCGCGAACAAUUAGAGGGCUUCCCACCUUCUAGCGGUUUUUCAGUAGUGUUGAAAUGCUAAAAGCCCCCCCCCCCUACCCCAUCCCACCCUCACCCAAACAAAAAAAAAAAAAAAAAAAAAAAAAAAAAAAUUGAUUUGGCUAGAAAAGAAAUUCAAAUUUGCCGCCUAAAUUUGAGUGUUGAGGUGUGUUCAAUGCUUGGUUUCGCAUUAAGUACCCGUCAAAUUUGAGGGAGAAAAGGGGUGUGGGUGUUGGGUAGCCAGCACAUAUGCACAUAUCAGGUAAAAGUGUAAUGGGACUUGUGCAGGUGUUUGGGGUGACUUUAGACCUGUUAGAUGUGAUAUUUGGAGGUGCAAAGAAACCGGAUGUGCCAUUUUCCUAGAUUGUAGUAACUGCUGGUGCAUGCUGGGAGUCUAUACAAGCCUCAUGUUGUCAGAUGUUGUGAAGAUGCACUGGAUUUGACCGUGUGUGUUGUGGAUUGUGGAAUUGAAUAUACAGUUUGUAAUGGCUCAUCCUAUGUGUUCUAAUUCACGGAGACAAUGUCUUUCAGUCAUUUCACCCAAGGAGGCAUGCAUAUACGGAUUGAUAGGCUUUGACAACAAACAACCAAAAUGGCGGCCGGUGAAUUAGAAAGUGUCUGAGUGCAUGUAGGAUAUCUGAACGGAGAAUAGGAGUACUGCAUCCCAUCUGAUCCUGCAGUCAUUUCACCCAAGGAGGCAUGCAUAUACGGAUUGAUAGGCUUUGACAACAAACAACCAAAAUGGCGGCCGGUGAAUUAGAAAGUGUCUGAGUGCAUGUAGGAUAUCUGAACGGAGAAUAGGAGUACUGCAUCCCAUCUGAUCCUGCAGGUAAGUGUUUAUUUGUUUACAAUGACAGUCGGGAUGGAAUGUCAAUGAGUUCAACUGUCAAGUAAAGUUGCAUCAUCAUUAUAAAAAAAAACAACUUAGUCUUUAUGUUGAUGCAGGCAGACAAUUGAAUCUGGCCUAUGUCUUUUCAUGAAUGUAAAUGGAAUUCAUGUUUGAUUGACAAGACAGUCAAGAAAUGGAAGAAGUGGGUGUAGGUCAGAUGUGUAGGUGUAGGUCAGAUUAGCUAGAAUCCUGUAAUUGUUGCAUGGCAUGAGACCGGUCAAAAUAGUGUAUUGAAACAGCUGAUCACAAUCAGAUCACUUGAAGGGUGGGGGAUUUCUUCCUUGGGGACGACAGGCGUGAUGGGUGGGUUGGCCUUACUCGUGGAGACUGGCCCCUGGAUGCGUGACCUUGACCUUUGACCUUGACCCACUUUCAAGGUCAAACCUCAAAAACACAUGGGGGAGAAAGUGUGACCUUGACCUUUGACCUUGACCUCAUUUUGAAGGUCAGAGAGGUCACGGGGCUUCGUUUAAGUGGUCCCGCGUCCCUGUCUACAUCCGUGAAGGAGUUGUGGGCUUGAACGACGACGUCGGAGACUUUCGGGGGCGAGAACCGUGCUUCGGGGUUCUCGGUUUCCCUCGGUCAACUUUUCUGUGCGAGAGCGUUUCAUCUGGAAUUCGUCGGCGAAGGUCUCGCCUCUCCAUGACUUGCGGUCUAGUGAGAGUAGCGAUAACGGGGUUUUCGACGUUAAGUCGCCGCCAUUCGCAGAGUGGUCAAAGUUCAGAGUUGACAUUCGUGAUGCCGAGACUGGUCCAAAAUUCCUUGCUGACCCAUGUGAUAUUUCGAUGCUAUCUGAAGCGUGAAAGAGCGUAUAAAAAGUGCCAUUUUCUGGCCAUUCUGGAUGACCUUGACCUUUGACCUUGACCUACUUUUUCAAGGUCAAGGUCACCCAACCCGUCCCAGUGGGUUCCGUCUCUCUACGACGAAGACUUUAGGAGUCGUCAAUUUGUAGGGGACAAAUCGCAAAACAUGAGGGGGCAUUAACUCCCUUUAGGGGACACCGAAUCCCUUCAUUUGAAAUUCUUCGCUUCUACUAAUUACCCUCUAUGUUGUAGAAAAGGUUUCAUCCUCCUAUCAUUUACGGUUACAAAGUAGAAGUGCUAACAAUGAUUUCUGCGAAAGGUCAAAUAACUCCGUAAGGGGUCAAAGUUCAAUUACGCAGGGUGAACUGUAUUCGUUUCUCAAGAAGUACUAUAUGAUGGACUAUAAAGUUUUUCGAUAAGUCUUAAGACGAAGAUUUUUUUUGAUGGCAGGAAAAUAAUAAUAAUAAUAAUAAUAAUAACUAGUGAUCCUAAUUGUUCGCGAACAAUUAGAGGGCUUUCCACCUACAAUGAUUUAAAGAUAGAUAUUUAAGAAUAUUUAGGAUGAUGUACGAAACUCAAAACGACUUAGAAAAUUUAAUAAUUUUCUCAAUGAUCUUGACCUUUGACCUUGACCUCAUUUUGAAGGUCAAAGGUCAUCGGUCUUAAUCCAAGUGAUUCCAUGUCUCUAUCUAUAUUAAUGUAAAAGCUAUAAGCUUAAAAAAUGUUAAUCAAGACAUUCAGGGUCAAUAAUUUGUUUAGGGGUUUUCGGUUACUUUCGGUUAACUUCUCAAUGCUAAAAAUACUUUGAAAGACCUUGAAAAUGGAAAAAAAUUAAUUUUGAUGAUGACCUUGACCUUUGACCUUGACCUCAUUUUGAAGGUCAAAGGUCAUCGGUCUUAAUGCAAGUGGUCCCAUGUCUCUAUCUCUAUUAAUACAAAAGUUAUAGGCUUAGAUAAUGAUAUUGGAGACUUUCAGGGGCAAUAACUAUGCUUAAGGGUUUUCGUAUCCCUUUGAUUAUUUUUUCUUUGCAAGAGGGUUUUACUGUGAAUUCAUUAGCGAAGGUUUCGUGUCUCUAUGACUUUCCGUUAAGUAGGAGUAGCGAUAACAAGGUUUUCGACGCGAGUCUCCGAAAUUCACAGAAGGGUCAAAGUUCAAAGUUGUAAUGCAUACUAUCAAAACCAAUCAAGAAGUCAAUACUUACCCAUAUAAUAUUUCAACGCUAUCUUAAGCAGGAAAGAGAGUAUAAAAAGUGCUAUUUUUUCCUCUUUUCUGAUGACCUUGACCUUUGACCUUGACCUAAUUUUCAAGGUCAAAGGUCACCGAUCCUAUUCCAGUUGGUCCCAUGUCUCUACGACAAACCGUUCUCAAGCUCGACAUAUUUUACGAAUAAAUUGCAAAACAUAAAGAGGCAUUAACUCCCUUUAGGGGACACCGAAUCCCUUCAUUUUAAAUUCUUCCCUUCUACUAAUUACCCUCUAUGUUUUAGAAAAGGUUUUAUCCUUCUAUCAUUUAUGGUUACAAAGUAGAAGUGCUAACAAUGAUUUCUGCGAAAGGUCCAAUAACUCCGUAAGGGGUCAAAGGUCAAUUAGGCAGGGUGAACUGUAUUCGUUUCUCAGGGAGUACUAUAUGAUGGACUAUAAAGUUUUUCGAUAAGUCUUAAGACGAAAAAUUUUUUUGACGGCAGGAAAAUAAUAAUAAUAAACAGAACAAUAACAAUAGGACUUUCCACUGAAAGGUGGAAAGCCCUAAUAACUAGUGAUCCUAAUUGUUCGCGAACAAUUAGAGGGCUUUCCACCUACAAUGAUUUAAAAAAAGAUAUUUAAGAAUAUUUAAGAUGAUGUACGAAUCUCAAAAUGACCAAGAAAAUUUAAUUAAUAAUUUUCACGAUGACCUUGACCUUAGACCUUGACCUCAUUUUGAAGGUCAAAGGUCAUCGCUCUUAAUGCAAGUGAUCCCAUGUCUCUAUCUAUAUUAAUAUAAAAGCUAUAAGCUUAAAAAAUGUUAAUCAAGACAUUCAGGGGCAAUAAUUUGUUUAGGGAUUUUCGGUUACUUUCGGUUAGCUUAUCAAUUCUAAAAACGCUUUGAAAGACCUUAAAAAUGGAAAAAAUAUUCAUUUUGAUGAUGACCUUGACCUUUGACCUUGACCUUAUUUUGAAGGUCAUCGGUCUUAAUGCAAGUGGUCCCAUGUAUCUAUCUAUAUUAAUAUAAAAGUUAUAGGCUUAGAUAAUGAUAUUGGAGACUUUCAGGGGCAAUAACUAUGCUUAAGGGUUUUUGUAUCCCUUUGAUUAUUUUUUCUUUGCAAGAGGGUUUUACUGUGAAUUCAUUAGCGAAUGUUUCGUGUCUCUAUGACUUUCCGUUAAGUAGGAGUAGCGAUAACAAGGUUUUCGACUCGAGUCUCCGAAAUUCACAGAAGGGUCAGAGUUCAAAGUUGUAAUGCAUACUAUCAAAACCAAUCAAGAAGUCAAUACUUACCCAUAUAAUAUUUCAACGCUAUCUUAAGCAGGAAAGAGAGUAUAAAAAGUGCUAUUUUUCCUCUUUUCUGAUGACCUUGACCUUUGACCUUGACCUAAUUUUCAAGGUCAAAGGUCACCGAUCCUAUUCCAGUUGGUCCCAUGUCUCUACGACAAACCGUGCUCAAGCUCGACAUGUUUUACGAAUAAAUCGCAAAACAUAGAGAGGCAUUAACUCCCUUUAGGGGACACCGAAUCCCUUCAUUUUAAAUUCUUCGCUUCUACUAAUUACCCUCUAUGUUUUAGAAAAGAUUUUAUCCUCCUAUCAUUUACGGUUACAAAGUAGAAGCGCUAACAAUGAUUUCUGCGAAAGGUCCAAUAACUCCGUAAGGGGUCAAAGUUCAAUUACGCAGGGUGAACUGUAUUCGUUUCUCAAGAAGUACUAUAUGAUGGACUAUAAAGUUUUUCGAUAAGUCUUAAGACAAAAAUUUUUUUUGACGGCAGGAAAAUAAUAAUAACUAGUGAUCCUAAUUGUUCGCGAACAAUUAGAGGGCUUCCCACCUUCUAGCGGUUUUUCAGUAGUGUUGAAAUGCUAAAAGCCCCCCCCCCCUACCCCAUCCCACCCUCACCCAAACAAAAAAAAAAAAAAAAAAAAAAAAAAAAAAAUUGAUUUGGCUAGAAAAGAAAUUCAAAUUUGCCGCCUAAAUUUGAGUGUUGAGGUGUGUUCAAUGCUUGGUUUCGCAUUAAGUACCCGUCAAAUUUGAGGGAGAAAAGGGGUGUGGGUGUUGGGUAGCCAGCACAUAUGCACAUAUCAGGUAAAAGUGUAAUGGGACUUGUGCAGGUGUUUGGGGUGACUUUAGACCUGUUAGAUGUGAUAUUUGGAGGUGCAAAGAAACCGGAUGUGCCAUUUUCCUAGAUUGUAGUAACUGCUGGUGCAUGCUGGGAGUCUAUACAAGCCUCAUGUUGUCAGAUGUUGUGAAGAUGCACUGGAUUUGACCGUGUGUGUUGUGGAUUGUGGAAUUGAAUAUACAGUUUGUAAUGGCUCAUCCUAUGUGUUCUAAUUCACGGAGACAAUGUCUUUCAGUCAUUUCACCCAAGGAGGCAUGCAUAUACGGAUUGAUAGGCUUUGACAACAAACAACCAAAAUGGCGGCCGGUGAAUUAGAAAGUGUCUGAGUGCAUGUAGGAUAUCUGAACGGAGAAUAGGAGUACUGCAUCCCAUCUGAUCCUGCAGGUAAGUGUUUAUUUGUUUACAAUGACAGUCGGGAUGGAAUGUCAAUGAGUUCAACUGUCAAGUAAAGUUGCAUCAUCAUUAUAAAAAAAAACAACUUAGUCUUUAUGUUGAUGCAGGCAGACAAUUGAAUCUGGCCUAUGUCUUUUCAUGAAUGUAAAUGGAAUUCAUGUUUGAUUGACAAGACAGUCAAGAAAUGGAAGAAGUGGGUGUAGGUCAGAUGUGUAGGUGUAGGUCAGAUUAGCUAGAAUCCUGUAAUUGUUGCAUGGCAUGAGACCGGUCAAAAUAGUGUAUUGAAACAGCUGAUCACAAUCAGAUCACUUGAAGGGUGGGGGAUUUCUUCCUUGGGGACGACAGGCGUGAUGGGUGGGUUGGCCUUACUCGUGGAGACUGGCCCCUGGAUGCGUGACCUUGACCUUUGACCUUGACCCACUUUCAAGGUCAAACCUCAAAAACACAUGGGGGAGAAAGUGUGACCUUGACCUUUGACCUUGACCUCAUUUUGAAGGUCAGAGAGGUCACGGGGCUUCGUUUAAGUGGUCCCGCGUCCCUGUCUACAUCCGUGAAGGAGUUGUGGGCUUGAACGACGACGUCGGAGACUUUCGGGGGCGAGAACCGUGCUUCGGGGUUCUCGGUUUCCCUCGGUCAACUUUUCUGUGCGAGAGCGUUUCAUCUGGAAUUCGUCGGCGAAGGUCUCGCCUCUCCAUGACUUGCGGUCUAGUGAGAGUAGCGAUAACGGGGUUUUCGACGUUAAGUCGCCGCCAUUCGCAGAGUGGUCAAAGUUCAGAGUUGACAUUCGUGAUGCCGAGACUGGUCCAAAAUUCCUUGCUGACCCAUGUGAUAUUUCGAUGCUAUCUGAAGCGUGAAAGAGCGUAUAAAAAGUGCCAUUUUCUGGCCAUUCUGGAUGACCUUGACCUUUGACCUUGACCUACUUUUUCAAGGUCAAGGUCACCCAACCCGUCCCAGUGGGUUCCGUCUCUCUACGACGAAGACUUUAGGAGUCGUCAAUUUGUAGGGGACAAAUCGCAAAACAUGAGGGGGCAUUAACUCCCUUUAGGGGACACCGAAUCCCUUCAUUUGAAAUUCUUCGCUUCUACUAAUUACCCUCUAUGUUGUAGAAAAGGUUUCAUCCUCCUAUCAUUUACGGUUACAAAGUAGAAGUGCUAACAAUGAUUUCUGCGAAAGGUCAAAUAACUCCGUAAGGGGUCAAAGUUCAAUUACGCAGGGUGAACUGUAUUCGUUUCUCAAGAAGUACUAUAUGAUGGACUAUAAAGUUUUUCGAUAAGUCUUAAGACGAAGAUUUUUUUUGAUGGCAGGAAAAUAAUAAUAAUAAUAAUAAUAAUAACUAGUGAUCCUAAUUGUUCGCGAACAAUUAGAGGGCUUUCCACCUACAAUGAUUUAAAGAUAGAUAUUUAAGAAUAUUUAGGAUGAUGUACGAAACUCAAAACGACUUAGAAAAUUUAAUAAUUUUCUCAAUGAUCUUGACCUUUGACCUUGACCUCAUUUUGAAGGUCAAAGGUCAUCGGUCUUAAUCCAAGUGAUUCCAUGUCUCUAUCUAUAUUAAUGUAAAAGCUAUAAGCUUAAAAAAUGUUAAUCAAGACAUUCAGGGUCAAUAAUUUGUUUAGGGGUUUUCGGUUACUUUCGGUUAACUUCUCAAUGCUAAAAAUACUUUGAAAGACCUUGAAAAUGGAAAAAAAUUAAUUUUGAUGAUGACCUUGACCUUUGACCUUGACCUCAUUUUGAAGGUCAAAGGUCAUCGGUCUUAAUGCAAGUGGUCCCAUGUCUCUAUCUCUAUUAAUACAAAAGUUAUAGGCUUAGAUAAUGAUAUUGGAGACUUUCAGGGGCAAUAACUAUGCUUAAGGGUUUUCGUAUCCCUUUGAUUAUUUUUUCUUUGCAAGAGGGUUUUACUGUGAAUUCAUUAGCGAAGGUUUCGUGUCUCUAUGACUUUCCGUUAAGUAGGAGUAGCGAUAACAAGGUUUUCGACGCGAGUCUCCGAAAUUCACAGAAGGGUCAAAGUUCAAAGUUGUAAUGCAUACUAUCAAAACCAAUCAAGAAGUCAAUACUUACCCAUAUAAUAUUUCAACGCUAUCUUAAGCAGGAAAGAGAGUAUAAAAAGUGCUAUUUUUUCCUCUUUUCUGAUGACCUUGACCUUUGACCUUGACCUAAUUUUCAAGGUCAAAGGUCACCGAUCCUAUUCCAGUUGGUCCCAUGUCUCUACGACAAACCGUUCUCAAGCUCGACAUAUUUUACGAAUAAAUUGCAAAACAUAAAGAGGCAUUAACUCCCUUUAGGGGACACCGAAUCCCUUCAUUUUAAAUUCUUCCCUUCUACUAAUUACCCUCUAUGUUUUAGAAAAGGUUUUAUCCUUCUAUCAUUUAUGGUUACAAAGUAGAAGUGCUAACAAUGAUUUCUGCGAAAGGUCCAAUAACUCCGUAAGGGGUCAAAGGUCAAUUAGGCAGGGUGAACUGUAUUCGUUUCUCAGGGAGUACUAUAUGAUGGACUAUAAAGUUUUUCGAUAAGUCUUAAGACGAAAAAUUUUUUUGACGGCAGGAAAAUAAUAAUAAUAAACAGAACAAUAACAAUAGGACUUUCCACUGAAAGGUGGAAAGCCCUAAUAACUAGUGAUCCUAAUUGUUCGCGAACAAUUAGAGGGCUUUCCACCUACAAUGAUUUAAAAAAAGAUAUUUAAGAAUAUUUAAGAUGAUGUACGAAUCUCAAAAUGACCAAGAAAAUUUAAUUAAUAAUUUUCACGAUGACCUUGACCUUAGACCUUGACCUCAUUUUGAAGGUCAAAGGUCAUCGCUCUUAAUGCAAGUGAUCCCAUGUCUCUAUCUAUAUUAAUAUAAAAGCUAUAAGCUUAAAAAAUGUUAAUCAAGACAUUCAGGGGCAAUAAUUUGUUUAGGGAUUUUCGGUUACUUUCGGUUAGCUUAUCAAUUCUAAAAACGCUUUGAAAGACCUUAAAAAUGGAAAAAAUAUUCAUUUUGAUGAUGACCUUGACCUUUGACCUUGACCUUAUUUUGAAGGUCAUCGGUCUUAAUGCAAGUGGUCCCAUGUAUCUAUCUAUAUUAAUAUAAAAGUUAUAGGCUUAGAUAAUGAUAUUGGAGACUUUCAGGGGCAAUAACUAUGCUUAAGGGUUUUUGUAUCCCUUUGAUUAUUUUUUCUUUGCAAGAGGGUUUUACUGUGAAUUCAUUAGCGAAUGUUUCGUGUCUCUAUGACUUUCCGUUAAGUAGGAGUAGCGAUAACAAGGUUUUCGACUCGAGUCUCCGAAAUUCACAGAAGGGUCAGAGUUCAAAGUUGUAAUGCAUACUAUCAAAACCAAUCAAGAAGUCAAUACUUACCCAUAUAAUAUUUCAACGCUAUCUUAAGCAGGAAAGAGAGUAUAAAAAGUGCUAUUUUUCCUCUUUUCUGAUGACCUUGACCUUUGACCUUGACCUAAUUUUCAAGGUCAAAGGUCACCGAUCCUAUUCCAGUUGGUCCCAUGUCUCUACGACAAACCGUGCUCAAGCUCGACAUGUUUUACGAAUAAAUCGCAAAACAUAGAGAGGCAUUAACUCCCUUUAGGGGACACCGAAUCCCUUCAUUUUAAAUUCUUCGCUUCUACUAAUUACCCUCUAUGUUUUAGAAAAGAUUUUAUCCUCCUAUCAUUUACGGUUACAAAGUAGAAGCGCUAACAAUGAUUUCUGCGAAAGGUCCAAUAACUCCGUAAGGGGUCAAAGUUCAAUUACGCAGGGUGAACUGUAUUCGUUUCUCAAGAAGUACUAUAUGAUGGACUAUAAAGUUUUUCGAUAAGUCUUAAGACAAAAAUUUUUUUUGACGGCAGGAAAAUAAUAAUAACUAGUGAUCCUAAUUGUUCGCGAACAAUUAGAGGGCUUCCCACCUUCUAGCGGUUUUUCAGUAGUGUUGAAAUGCUAAAAGCCCCCCCCCCCUACCCCAUCCCACCCUCACCCAAACAAAAAAAAAAAAAAAAAAAAAAAAAAAAAAAUUGAUUUGGCUAGAAAAGAAAUUCAAAUUUGCCGCCUAAAUUUGAGUGUUGAGGUGUGUUCAAUGCUUGGUUUCGCAUUAAGUACCCGUCAAAUUUGAGGGAGAAAAGGGGUGUGGGUGUUGGGUAGCCAGCACAUAUGCACAUAUCAGGUAAAAGUGUAAUGGGACUUGUGCAGGUGUUUGGGGUGACUUUAGACCUGUUAGAUGUGAUAUUUGGAGGUGCAAAGAAACCGGAUGUGCCAUUUUCCUAGAUUGUAGUAACUGCUGGUGCAUGCUGGGAGUCUAUACAAGCCUCAUGUUGUCAGAUGUUGUGAAGAUGCACUGGAUUUGACCGUGUGUGUUGUGGAUUGUGGAAUUGAAUAUACAGUUUGUAAUGGCUCAUCCUAUGUGUUCUAAUUCACGGAGACAAUGUCUUUCAGUCAUUUCACCCAAGGAGGCAUGCAUAUACGGAUUGAUAGGCUUUGACAACAAACAACCAAAAUGGCGGCCGGUGAAUUAGAAAGUGUCUGAGUGCAUGUAGGAUAUCUGAACGGAGAAUAGGAGUACUGCAUCCCAUCUGAUCCUGCAGAGUUUUGCUGUCGGCAAUGAAAGUCAAUCCAAUUCUACCGAGAACGUCACUCGCAGCGGAAAUGGUAACCAAUAGAGCUACGUUCUCAUCGCUUAUUUCGCAGUCACGUGCAAAUGGAGG